rnacentral:ncRNA from 1 species
GUAGAAUUCUUGUGUGUCGGUGUCAUCGUUUGAGAUAUGUUAACUCUGUCGAGAUGAUGCCGCCUUUAGAGGAUUCUCUCUUCACCCAAAUUCGGCUUUUAGAACCAAGCCAGUGCGAAACGGCUACUCGGGC